GUUUGAAAACGUGGGCCCGGACAAAUGAUGCUCAGGACUGAGUGUUGUCAGAAUCACCUGGGAGCUUGUGGAAACCCAGGAUGCCAGCCUCACCACCAGAGUUUCUGAUUAACUGGGUUUGAGCUGGGGCUUAGGAAUGUACUUCUAACAAGUUCUCAGACCCUGCUGGUGCUGCUGGUCUGGGAUCACACGCUGGAACCCCUGGGGAGCUGUUGACACUGGGGGACAACCAGCUGAGUUCUGUUUUAUUUUUUUGGCCACGUCAUGUGGCUCGUGGGGUCCUAGUUCUCUGACCAGGGAUUGAACCCAGGCUCUUGAUAGUGAAAGUGCUGAGUCCUAACCACUGGACCACCAGGGAACUCCCCAACUGGAUUCUAAAGAGGAGUCCAGCCUCCGUUUGCCAGGGAUUCAGGCUAAAUAUUCACCUGUGUGUAACUUUUGCACCUGUCAUUUGUCAGGCACAAGGGCCCAAAGACUUGUCACUUAUUGAGUGGAGGAGUGUUCUGGGAGGGGAGGUAGGUAGCUAAGUAGCCCUGAUGGGGGCUCUCAGAAAGGCACCCCAGGGCUUGGCGGUCGGCAUGGCUGCCCUCUGCCCGGAACCUGGGAUCUUGGAGGAACCCCUCUUUCCCCUCUAGUUAAGUAACCAAAUGUUUGCUGGACACACACAGCGUGGUCCCUUCAUGUGCCGGGUGUUUGGGGGAGGAGGGAUCAGAGGAGAGGACAGUCUUUGCUUUCUGGAGUUUGCUGCGGAAGCAUUAAUUAGGAGGACGAUAAAAGGCAAUGUCACAUUAAGAGCAUAACUGCUGGUUAGAAAUACGUUAUCGCUCUGGGCUCUAGGCUCCUGAAAGACAUGCCCACGUGUAGGCUGACGAGAUCAAGCUGCCAGCAUUAGAACGAGCCGCCACCUGCAAAAACAGGUUGUGGUUCCGAGUUGGUUUUGUGAAAGGAAUCGUCAGACCAACACCACCUGGGGGACAAAGCUGGAGGACGGCCCGACGUAACUCCCACUUGGAGGCUGAAGCAGCCGCAGAGAAGAGGGUACAAAGAUGGCGCUCUCCGUGGCCGCACCGCGCACCCAGCAUCCAGCCUCGCUCAAGACACUAGCGCUCCUUCAGACACAUGCGCAGUCGCUUCAGGUGCGUCCGACUCUUUGCGAACCCAUGGCCUGUAGCCCGCCAGGCUCCUCUGUCCACGGGAUUCUCCAGGUAACCUUAGGAAGUGUCUACAGGGACAAGGUUCAGAGCCUCUGCUUCUGAAGACACAUGCUGUGCCCUGGGCUGCAUGGACAAAAGAACUACAUUUCCCAGCCUCCCUUGGAGCUGAAUGUGACCAUGUGACUCAGUUCUGACCAAUGGAAAGAAAGCAAUGAAUACAACCUCCUUUCCUUCCCCUCCCUUACCUCUGGCUGGACUUUGAAUUCCAAAACAGAUUUCUUGGUGCCUGGGCCCCUGAUCCCAUGGAGGGGCUGCACCAGCCCUGGGUCAUUUACACUGGGAUUGUU
ensembl:lncRNA